UUAGCUCAAUGGUUGAGCGUUGGCUUUGAGAGCCACAGGUCGGUGGCUCGAACCCACCA
rnacentral:tRNA from 1 species